GUGCUCUUUUGCUUUGGCGUUGCUUAUUUCAAUUGGUUUAGCAACUCCUUGCAAAAUUCAGUUUGACAAAUGAAAGUUUCCUUUUUCAUUUGCUUAACUUGCAGCACAGAGAUAGAGUUUAGCUCAUCCACCAUCACAAUUUUGCCAAUUAUGAGUUAUACAAACUUCUUGCAUAUAAACUCAUUAGUUGCUCCAAAAAUAUUAUCAACAAACAAA
rnacentral:lncRNA from 1 species